UACGAAGGGGGGCUAGCGUUGCUCGGAAUUACUGGGCGUAAAGCGCACGUAGGCGGCUUUGUAAGUUAGAGGUGAAAGCCCGGAGCUCAACUCCGGAACUGCCUUUAAGAUUGCAUCGCUUGAAUCCAGGAGAGGUGAGUGGAAUUCCGAGUGUAGAGGUGAAAUUCGUAGAUAUUCGGAAGAACACCAGUGGCGAAGGCGGCUCACUGGCCCGGUACUGACGCUGAGGCACGAAAGCGUGGGGAGCAAACAGGG
rnacentral:rRNA from 1 species